rnacentral:SRP_RNA from 1 species
GCCGGGCGUGGUGGCUCACGCCUGUAAUCCCAGCACUUUAGGAGGCUGAGGUGGGCAGAUCACCUGAGGUCAGGAGUUCGAGACCAGCCUGGCCAACAUGGUGAAACCCCAUCUCUA